CUGGGUCGUGCCUCUUCUUCUUCUUCUAAUGAAUUCGCCAUAAAAAUUGAUGCUAUGAUCCUCAGAAUGUAUUCCCUGCUUCCAUUCGAGUCACUGCCGCUCAGAGUGAAUUGAGGUGGGUUAGAUUGACUCUCGUAGCGCCUUAUGCUCCGCUUUGAGAGGGCUCUCUGAGGAAGUACUGUGAUCUCUUCAUCCAGGAGCAUUUGAUUUCCAUUGUUGUGUCCCCCAUUGU
rnacentral:misc_RNA from 1 species